AUGAGCAUUAACCCACACUGCGCCCUCCUACAGGAAUCAAAACUAAAUGUCAUUACUGAACAAAAAUUACGAUCCUUCCUACCUCGCUCUCUAGACCAACAUGUGUUUUUACCGGCCGACGGCUCGGCUGGGGGAACAGUCUUGGCUUUCAACUCAAACUACUUCUUAGUGCUCUCCCACACGCACAGCCACCUUACCACAUCGAUCAAGCUCACGUCCCUUGCGCACCCACAACCCUUUAUCAUCACAAACGUCUAUGCUCCUGCAAGUCGCAACCUCAAACAAGCUUUUCUCGAUGAACUCAGAACGAUAAAACGAGACAACCACACGCCCUGGUUAAUAGUAGGAGAUUUCAACCUUGUACGUUUUUCGCACGAAAAAAAUAACCACAACUUUCACCAACCAGAAGCAGAUGCUUUUAACAGCAUAAUCAAUGAGUUAGCCCUACUCGAACUCCCACUGCUCGACCGACGCUUCACUUGGUCUUCAAACACUCUCUGCCAACCUUAG
rnacentral:rRNA from 1 species